rnacentral:rRNA from 1 species
CAGCAGCCGCGUAAUACGUAGGGUGCAAGCGUUAAUCGGAAUUACUGGGCGUAAAGCGUGCGCAGGCGGUUAUAUAAGACAGAUGUGAAAUCCCCGGGCUCAACCUGGGAACUGCAUUUGUGACUGUAUAGCUAGAGUACGGCAGAGGGGGAUGGAAUUCCGCGUGUAGCAGUGAAAUGCGUAGAUAUGCGGAGGAACACCGAUGGCGAAGGCAAUCCCCUGGGCCUGUACUGACGCUCAUGCACGAAAGCGUGGGGAGCAAACAGGAUUAGAUACCCCAGUAGUCCCUGUCUCUUAUACA